UUUGCAUAUCAAUAAGCGGAGGAAAAGAAACCAACCGGGAUUGCCUUAGUAACGGCGAGUGAAGCGGCAAAAGCUCAAAUUUGAAAUCUGGUACCUUCGGUGCCCGAGUUGUAAUUUGGAGAGGGCAACUUUGGGGCCGUUCCUUGUCUAUGUUCCUUGGAACAGGACGUCAUAGAGGGUGAGAAUCCCGUGUGGCGAGGAGUGCGGUUCUUUGUAAAGUGCCUUCGAAGAGUCGAGUUGUUUGGGAAUGCAGCUCUAAGUGGGUGGUAAAUUCCAUCUAAAGCUAAAUAUUGGCGAGAGACCGAUAGCGAACAAGUACAGUGAUGGAAAGAUGAAAAGAACUUUGAAAAGAGAGUGAAAAAGUACGUGAAAUUGUUGAAAGGGAAGGGCAUUUGAUCAGACAUGGUGUUUUGUGCCCUCUGCUCCUUGUGGGUAGGGGAAUCUCGCAUUUCACUGGGCCAGCAUCAGUUUUGGUGGCAGGAUAAAUCCAUAGGAAUGUAGCUUGCCUCGGUAAGUAUUAUAGCCUGUGGGAAUACUGCCAGCUGGGACUGAGGACUGCGACGUAAGUCAAGGAUGCUGGCAUAAUGGUUAUAUGCCGCCCGUCUUGAA
rnacentral:rRNA from 1 species